AUUGGGCGUAAGGGCUCGCAGGCGGUUUCUUAAGUCUGAUGUGAAAGCCCCCGGCUCAACCGGGGAGGGUCAUUGGAAACUGGGAAACUUGAGUGCAGAAGAGGAGAGUGGAAUUCCACGUGUAGCGGUGAAAUGCGUAGAGAUGUGGAGGAACACCAGUGGCGAAGGCGACUCUCUGGUCUGUAACUGACGCUGAGGAGCGAAAGCGUGGGGAGCGAACAGGAUUAGAUACCCUGGUAGUCCACGCCGUAAACGAUGAGUGCUAAGUGUUAGGGGGUUUCCGCCCCUUAGUGCUGCAGCUAACGCAUUAAGCACUCCGCCUGGGGAGUACGGUCGCAAGACUGAAACUCAAAGGAAUUGACGGGGGCCCGCACAAGCGGUGGAGCAUGUGGUUUAAUUCGAAGCAACGCGAAGAACCUUACCAGGUCUUGACAUCCUCUGACAACCCUAGAGAUAGGGCUUUCCCUUCGGGGACAGAGUGACAGGUGGUGCAUGGUUGUCGUCAGCUCGUGUCGUGAGAUGUUGGGUUAAGUCCCGCAACGAGCGCAACCCUUGAUCUUAGUUGCCAGCAUUCAGUUGGGCACUCUAAGGUGACUGCCGGUGACAAACCGG
rnacentral:rRNA from 1 species